GCUCAGUGGGUAAGAGCACCCGACUGCUCUUCUGAAGGUCAGGAGUUCAAAUCCCAGCAACCACAUGGUGUCUCACAACCAUCUGUAACGAGAUCUGAUUCCCUCUUCUGGAGUGUCUGAAGACAGCUACAGUGUACUUACAUAUAAUAAGUAAAUAAAUAAAUCUUUAAAAAAAUUAAAGCAAGCUUUUUUAUUAGUGUGCACGGGUUGGGCCCCCCUAAGGUGGGGUUCCAGAGGUUAGCAUUAGGUGAGGAAGAUAAAGUUUUUAUAGCUCAGGAGUAGAGGGUUUCCAAACAGAGGAUUUGGCAGGCAAACAGGGUUAUAAAAGUAGAAUAUAACAAUUGGUCAUAAAAGCCUCUUGUGAAACAAAGACCUGGUCGCAAGGUGGUCUUAACAAGGUAGUCCUAACAAGCUGGUCAUGACAGCAGGUAGUCAUAAAAGAGUGGCCAUAACAAUCUCAGGGUUGCUGUUUUCUGGAACAGGCAGUACAAAUCCAUUUGUAGUCAAGGUUACGUGGUGCAGAGCAGAAUCCUUGAGAAACUGGUUUAAUCAUAAACAGGAAAGAGCCUAGUGUGUCUUUACCAAGAGAUGGUUUUCAAGCCUAGGGUGGAGGCAGCUGGUUCACUAUAUUGUGAGACCCUGGAUGCUACUUAAUCUUUUUUGCUUUUAACCAACAUCUUCCUGUCCAGUAGCAGGGAGCACAAGGGCUUCAUGGGUGAUGAAUGUUUUCAGCUUCCCGUAGAUUCCGCCAAAGUCAUCUCAGCAAAUGUAGAACAAACAGGUGCUCCUGAGUGGAGCUGAACUCCGUUCUAGAUCCUACUGACCUCGCUGUAAUGGUCGGCCUGGAGCGCGGGCAGCUUCCUUCAGGUGAGAGACGGACGGAUAGAAGAGCCGUUCCACCACAGUAUAGCUUAAUCUUAGUUUUCAGCUUUAUUGGAUCUGGAAUGAACUAGAAGACUGGCCUCGUGGCUGGAGAGAUGGCUCAGCGUUAGAGCAUUUGCUGCUCGUCUGAAGGACCCCGGCUGAGUUCCCAGCACUCAGGUCAGACAGCGCA
rnacentral:lncRNA from 1 species